CAGUAUUCAGGUCAGGUGACAAGGCUUCUAGUCACUUCAAAAAGACGCGCUAGCUGAGGGAAGUUUUGUCAAAGCUGACUAAAAGUGAUCGAGGAUUUAUAAUUUCGACUCCUGCUGUUCUGUCCUCCUCCCACUGUACCUGUGGUUUGGUUUCCUCCUCAUCCUUGUAGAAGUAGAGCUGAUCCGUUCGGAGCACAAACCAGCGCAGCUGCCAGUUCUUCAUGAUGCUGCGCUGUUUCUUAAGCCAGCCUGCUUUCAGCGCCCUCUCUUGGAGGCUGGGGGACGACGGCCUGCUGGAGCCGCGGGAGAGCUCCCCCAUGACCAUGCUCUUAGACCUAGCUGGAAACGAAUGUCCUACCCAUUCUGCUCCUCAGCCUCCCCAUCUGAAUGAAGGGCUGCAAACGCUGCCUCUGAUUCAAUCACUAGUGGAAUGACACACCAGUCGGCAAAUGAAACCUGGCAGUGUCUGUGAGCCUGCUGUGCUGGAAUAUGUGCUGUAGCGGCUUAAAACACGGCGAACCCAACACCCUCACCAAAAGUGACACAAUCCAUAUGCAAGAUGU